rnacentral:ncRNA from 1 species
CCCUGACAGCGACAACCGCUGACACUAGCCACGACAGGAGAUCAACAUG